rnacentral:lncRNA from 1 species
AUAAAGAUGAUAUUGGAAAAGUUCGUGCUCUCACAUAUGUUACAAAGAGUCUUCCAUGCUUCUGCUGGUUCUUUGCAAGAGAUGAUGUGAGAAAAGUUGGCUUCAUCCAAAUUAGUGGCAAUCAUGCCAAAAGCCUUCUUUUCUCGUCUUGUAAAGUCCUUCCUCUCUUUAGCAUCAGCAUGCAUGCUUGAAGGCUCUUCACUUUCAUCUACAAUGUCCCAAAGGUCCAAAGAUGCCAACAAAAGCUCCAUUUUGACCUUCCAAUGGUAGAAAUUGUCACCUCUAAACUUCUCAAUCACUCUCAAACCUUCACCUUCACUUGAAGCCAUGUCUUAGAAGAGGUCUAUCAAAAAAUAUCAAGAAAAAAGAGUCUCUAUGUGCUUAAAAUCACUAAAACAAUUUUGUACUAGCAAAAUCUCAGAAUGCCCUCUUGCGAACAAAUGAAUGUUUCUUC